UUGCUUUGGCAGCAUAUACACUAAAAUUGGAAUGACCUACAGAUUAAUAUGGUCCCGUACAAGGAUAAUGUGCAACCUCAUGAAGUGCUCCAUAUUUUU
rnacentral:snRNA from 1 species